rnacentral:rRNA from 1 species
AACGAACGCUGGCGGCAUGCCUAACACAUGCAAGUCGAACGAGACCUUCGGGUCUAGUGGCGCACGGGUGCGUAACGCGUGGGAACCUGCCCUUAGGUUCGGAAUAACUCCCCGAAAGGGGUGCUAAUACCGGAUAAUGUCUUCGGACCAAAGAUUUAUCGCCUUUGGAUGGGCCUGCGUUGGAUUAGCUAGUUGGUAGGGUAAAAGCCUACCAAGGCGACGAUCCAUAGCUGGUCUGAGAGGAUGAUCAGCCACACUGGGACUGAGACACGGCCCAGACUCCCACGGGAGGCAGCAGUGGGGAAUAUUGGACAAUGGGCGAAAGCCUGAUCCAGCAAUGCCGCGUGAGUGAUGAAGGCCUUAGGGUUGUAAAGCUCUUUUACCCGGGAUGAUAAUGACAGUACCGGGAGAAUAAGCUCCGGCUAACUCCGUG